AAAAGAACUCCUCCGGAAAGCUUUAUUCAAAAUAUGUCAAUACAAGAGUAAAGAAAAGAAAAACUGAGGGCACUCCUUUUAAUACUCCCGCAGAGGUUACUAAAGAGUCAUCACAAAAUAUACAAGAAGAAUUUUGUGAAAUAUAUGAUUCAGCACUUAAAGCAUCGCUAAGCCGAGAUACGUCGAAUUGGUGUGAUGUUAAGGAGAAGUGGCAAAAACAUUCAGUUUACGGCGCAAAGAGCUGAAGACGCUAAACAGUAAUGACUUUUUAAAAGCUUGGCCUAUAUAUACUGAUGCCAGAAGCCCAGACUUGAUUUUAACAAACUAUAUCCAAAAAAAGAACAUAUGCUGUAUUCUAAAUGGGACAAUUUUAAGGAAAAAAUACAAAAAUUUUACGCAACUGAACUGCGCAACGACUAUUGCAAGGAACUUUUCGGUAUUGCUAAAUUCACGCAAAAUAAGGAUGCUUGAUUUUAUCAUUGCAUCUUUGCUAAACGGAGUAUUGCCUUGUCCAGCAUGAUCCAAAAAUAGUUCCGGCAAAUGUUGCAGAAAACCUACUAUUGCAGAUGCUCAGGAAAGUUUCGCAGUACGUUUAUUAUGCAUCAACGAUUACGAGAACACAAUUGAAGAGCUUAUAGCAAAAUACAACUCUGCUGGACUAUCUGUGCAGCCAUUCUUGCUAUUAGAAGGACAUUCUGAUGGAGAGGUAAAAGGGUUUUAUAUAUACUUUGACAAAACGUUGUAUAAGUUUCCAACAU